rnacentral:sRNA from 1 species
AAAGCUUGUCUCCUGAAAAUCAACACAGUCGAUGAGAUCAAAGCGGCCGUGGCUGGCAAGCUGUCCGACAUGGAUCCAACAGUCGUGGCGGCUCUUUUUUAAAGUCAUUGGCUCUUCACUGAUCACCGAGAUCGAAUCUUUUAUCUUUUUUUCUGUUAUGUUUUCUCUGUUGUUAUCAUGUUACCUGUUUUACUGAAAUUUUUUGAUAAAAUUAUGUUUUUGAACGAUUACUACUUUUCUUUUAAACAUUAGUUCGGAUCUUUUGAAUGCUUGACGUUCGAAAAUUAAGAUUGUCCGAUUUUGGCCUAUCUUGGAUUUUGUUUUUAAGCUUUCUUCGAAGCGAUAAAAUCGAUUAUUGAAAAAAAAACAUGAAUUUUUUCGUCGAACUACGGUAAGUGUCGCGGUGCCACCGCGAAGGGUGAUAACAACGAGAGACGCAGAGGCAGCAACGAGCAGCGCUCGUAUAAUUAUUAUUGAUCUCCCCCGUUUGACCUACCCGCCAAAUACUAAUUUCUCGCCCCUUUACUAUUUCGCAACCACCACCUAACCUUUCGAUUUGAAUAUUAUUCACUUCUUCCACCAACCACACCUAGGAGGUGGUUGUAUUCGGUUUAUACUCCGAUCAUAUGACCCUUUCACCAACUCAUUCUACUAAUUACUCAUCUUCCUUAAUAUUCACCACCACCGAUCGAUUAUUCUAAUAAAUAACUAUUGCGGAAAGCUAAAUCUUCGUCUUAAUCUAUCCGCAUCACUGGGGAAUAAUCUAUCGAGAUUAUUCCACUCCGAGGAGCUGUAUCGUAAAUCGUCACCUUCAAUAGGUGAACGACAUGGUGCAUCGACCGGAUGAUUCGAAGGAUCCGGACUGGCUCGAGUGGCAGGAGAGCCGACAAAAAUCGAUAAUUCAAGUGUCAGCGACACCGAUUCGGACAAAUCGAUGGAUUUUUUCGCCAAUUUCGUGGAAUUCCGAGCAAAAUGUGGAAGUUUGCACAGUUUCUCUGUGGUUUCAAGCGUGACUUGGAGUCAGCAUUGGUGUCCGUGGAGUGAGCGAUAAUGCGAAAAAUCCGAAAUGGCUCUAGUGGCAGGAGAGCCACAAAAAAUCGAUACUUCACGAUUCCAAAAGUUAUUUUUUCGAGUAAUUUGGAAACAAAAAUCGAUAAUUCUCACGGAACCGACAAUGGAAAAUGCGACAAUUUCUUCGUCCAAAUUGUAUUGGAAGGUCGUAUCAGCAAGUGGAAUCGGGCAAAACAAGGAUUUUUGCCGCUUUCAUGGAUUCUUCGAGAGGACACUGGUGUUCUCGCAAAGUUUCCGAGGAUUUCGAGCAACACUAUAGAGUUUUUGCAUCGAUUCGUGGAGUUGGUCGACUGGACAAGGAAUGGGUCGAGUGAAACUGGACGUUUCCCACACACUUCGUGGUUACAGUUUUUGAGGAUCAAGAGCAAACUUGGAGUUUGUGCCGUCGUGGAAGCAACGAUUUGACAAAGGAGGAGCGGUGAGAACUGGAGGUUCUCACCGGGAUCGGAGUCAACUUCCGGGACGGACGUGCGACAAACUACAGUCUGCGUGGAGAUGAGCAGCAAGAGUAGCUGAGUUUGAAAUGCUGAAUCAGCAAAGGUCGGGUGUAUACCGACGGAAGAGUCACCCAAAAGCCGAAAGUGGCGUUGUCGGGUGGCAAUGGGUUAAAUUUCACGCCCGGGGGUGACGGUAGGAGCUUUUAAGUGGCAGCAAGGACUGCCAAGCCCCACGUCAAAAAUAGUUUCAUUUAUGAAACAAACGUCCACUAGGGUUUAGUCAAUUCAAUUUAAAAGGGAUCCUCUAAUCUUUUUUAUAAAAAUUCCUUAAACUCUCUUUUCCAUAUAUGCCUUACUUAUCGAUCUCGCUUCAUGCUUUCUCUCUACACAGUGUUCUUGUCUCGCCAAAAAUUUUUUUUUAAAAUUUUUUUCAUGCGUUUCCUUUAUGAACACCUGUGGAGAGAACAUGAUACAAACCUGAUUCCAGUUACCAAUUUGAUCAAGCGUCGACAUUGAUUAAAAAGGAGCGGAAGAGGUCAGAAACCGAUAAUAUAGGAGCCCCCAAAAAUUAAAACUCUAAAUUCAAAAUCAAAAAUUAAUUAAAAUUUUUUUUCCUUAUCUUCCCCGCCUAAGGUAGUGUAGGGUCCCCAUAGUUUUCAGGUCAGGUACACGACGGAUUAGGCCCCAAAGUGUAUCUGCAUCACGCGGGUCAUAAAAAAUCAAUAAUUCAAUUCAGGUUUUAACAAUUUAAGUUUUAAGGUGGUAUAAUAUAGGGCAUGGCCUCACGUGCGGAACGUGGGAAGACGUUUGACUGCUGAUGACAGCCUUCUCCUAGGGAGAGCAUCAUGCGGCAGCGGCGUACCCGCCGGAGGGAAGGUGCUUAGCUAGGUCGGUAGCGGCGGCAGGCUUCCAAAGGCAAAAACACUCCAAAGGUCGGUUGCGAUACUCCGAGUAGAUCGGCAGCCGACGCUGCGGAAAAAACUGUCUAUAUUUCAAAUGAUGCUUAUACAUUAUAAGUAUCAACAAAAAAUUCAAUUUUCGUUUCCAAUAAUGCCGAAUGCAAUAAUUUGUGUAGUUCGAGCAUUCUUCAAUACAAUUUUCAUUCUAAUUUUCCAUUCAAAAUUCAAUUCAAGUCUUCAACAAAAGAAGCAAAUUCGCAUAUUUUAAAUUAAAAGUCUUCACAAAAGAAGCAAAUUUCAAAUGGUUAUCAAUUUUCAAGUUAACAAUAAUUCGUAGUACCAUAAUUCUAGGCUGCCUUAUAAUUUCCGUUUUUCGUGACAGUAACCUAACUCGUAGCUCCAAGUAGUACAAUUUUCUAAGCAUUCUCGUCGGCUACAGUAGUUUUUUAUCUAGAUAACAAUUCCAAUUUAAUCAAUAGUUCCCAUUUUUAAGCAGUUUUCCAAAAAAUCCCCAACUUCUCGUUGUAAAAUCACAUGUUUCCUCCAAGUAGUUAAUUUGAUUCCAAUUAAUUCUAAUGUAAAAAUUCACAAUUCAAUUGUAAGAAUUUCAACAAUUUAAUUAAAUCAAAAGAAGCAAUAACUGCUCAAAUCAAAAUUUUCCGGACAAUCUUAAUUUUUUUUUGACGGUGGAACUCGGAUUUUUGGAGCGAAGUCGUCGUGGAGCACAGAUUUUCGCAGAUGUCGACGCCAAAUGAGAAGGAAGUGCUGACAUUCAGCUAGAUGAUCAGGAUGUUUUCGUCUGGACAGUCGCCUUCUCGACAAAGGAAUCAUUCUUUCGAAUUUGGAAUUUUGCUGGAUGGAAAGUAUUUCGUCGUGUCGUUUCGUGGAAUUCAAAGAUGUAGUUGGAAGUUGGAUGUUCGGCAGGCAAAGGAUGAUAUCGAAAAAUCGAUGGAUUUAUCACCCGCCUUGGCUUGAAGAUGUGAUUGUGCUGGACGAUUUGUCAAUCAGACAGCAGCUUUCAAUGGAUAGAAGUCGUUUCGUGGAAUCGACAUUUUCCGCAUCAAAUCAAGGAGCAAAUCAAGACGAAUCUCUACAUGAUGAAUGUGACGAUGUUGGCGGAGUCACAAGGAGAAAUUCUUCAAUUGUACAAGAAUCAAGAGGAUUUUUCAUAUCCGGGUGGCUUUAUCGGGAUGCCACUGGUGAUGUCGAAAAGCGAGGACAAAGCCGACAAAUAGUGGAGCAGAAUCUACCAUUCCGAAGAUGGAGUUAAUUUCGUUGGAAUUGGCAUCGAAUGCAGAAGUCUACACAUUGCGAGAAGUUCAAAUUCCGGUAAAAAGAACAAAAAUUUUCCGAUUCAACGUGCACAAGUUAUGACUCCAGAAGACGAAGAGGAACAGUCGAAGAUGACAAGAAAUACGGAUGUCGUCGUGGAUCCGAGCACAUUUGCAACGUUCUGUACAAUUUGGUCCACUCAAAAUUCCUUUGAAUUUCGAGCCUUUUUUCCCCCGGAGUGUCGUGCUGUACGCACGAAGGGAUGGAUCAGGACGGUGCGCUCUGAGGAUCACCAGCAGCGGAGAUCGGAAGACGUCGUACAUCAGAGAAGCAGCAACGUCGGACGAUGGAGUUGGCUUCGGGACAUUCAGAGUCCGUUGGAUUUUGGAUCUUCGUCAACAGCAAGGAGGAGAAGUUCAGGAGGAAGAGCAGCGACCAGGAGAAGUUAUCGACCACGUCGAAAGACUUUCGGGAUUAGAAGGACAAGCUGAAAAGUUAUCGAUCACGUCGAAAGACGUUCGAGAGAAGGACAAGCUAUGAUCGCUGAUGUUGGAGUACCAGUGUCGGAGGAGCAAAGGAGCGUCGGAGCCAAGCAGUGUCGGAGGACAAGCCGCGUCAUUGGCGAGUGGGGUCCAGUUGAGAUCAUCCAAAUUCCUUCGGAAUUCGGAUCUUUUCUCAGGCGGAGUGUCGCGGUGCCACCGCGAAGGGUGAUAACAACGAGAGACGCAGAGGCAGUAACGAGCAGCGCUCGUAUAAUUAUUAUUGAUCUCCCCCGUUUGACCUACCCGCCAAAUACUAAUUUCUCGCCCCUUUACUAUUUCGCAACCACCACCUAACCUUUCGAUUUGAAUAUUAUUCACUUCUUCCACCAACCACACCUAGGAGGUGGUUGUAUUCGGUUUAUACUCCGAUCAUAUGACCCUUUCACCAACUCAUUCUACUAAUUACUCAUCUUCCUUAAUAUUCACCACCACCGAUCGAUUAUUCUAAUAAAUAACUAUUGCGGAAAGCUAAAUCUUCGUCUUAUUCUAUCCGCAUCACUGGGGAAUAAUCUAUCGAGAUUAUUCCACUCCUAGGAGCUGUAUCGUAAAUCGUCACCUUCAAUAGGUGAACGACAGUAAGCAAUGUGAGUACGCAAGUGCACACAAUGUACCGCAUUUGACGCGCAAAUCGAGUUUUGUGGUUUCUAAAAAUUUUCCUUGUUUCUCUCUGAUUUCUAAUUAAUAUUCUUGCCUUAAUAAUUAAUUGUCACUCAAAAAUAUUCCUAAUUUCAGCGCGAAUCUUCAAAGAAUGGUCCGUCCAACGAAGGAAUUUGUGCUUUCGCAUAUUUUCACGGAUGUAUCGAAGAUGGAGGAUGAAGAUUUUCUUCACAGUCCCGUAGAAGAAUAUUUCAAUGUUCCAUGGUUAUUUUUUUUUGUGGUUAGUGAAGAAUAAAAAAAAAAAGUAAAUUCAGGAAGCUGUCAAUUGCUCGCAAGGAAGAUCACUUGGGAAUUAUCCUUUUUUGUAAGAAAUUGAAAGUAAAAGAGACCGCGUGGAUCAUUGAUACUGAAUUCGAAUUCAAACUGAAAACUUCGAGAGGGAAAGUGUAUGGGGGAGAUGAGAAAUUUGAGUUUGAAUUUACAAAUGAGCCCAAAACUGGCCGUGGACAGUGGAAUUUUAUUCGUUGGGACAAAUUGAUAAACGACUACCUAAUCGAUGAUGUUGUCACUGUUGAAGCCGCUGUGAAGAUCAUCAAGACGACUGGAAUCUCGAAGAAAGCGCUCAAAAGCUUUGAAAAAUCGAAUGAAGCAUUUUCCGAUGUGGUUCUCGCGGUCGGAGACAAAAAGUUUUUCGUGCUCAGAAAGGUGCAAUUUUUCUAAAUUUUAAAACAUAAAUUUCAUGACUUGUUCCAGUUCCUCGCCUCACACUCUACAUACUUCGAAUCACUUUUUUUCGGAAAAUUCGCAGAAUCUGACAAGGAAGAAGUUACACUUCAAGGCAUUGAUUCCACCGAUUUUUAGAAUCUUCUAGAGGUUCUGUAUGGUGAACCCGCUAUUGACGGUAUAAAAAUCUAUAAAUUUUCAAAUAAUCAGUUUAUUGUUCAGAUAAUACUAUCGAUGGAAUGCUCCUCCUCGCCCACAUGUACGAUAUGGCUCUUCCAAUCCGAAAAUGCGAAGAGUUUCUGAUCGAAGAAUCUGAAAAGUCGAUGAAGGAUCAACUCAAAAUCGCAAAACAAUACCAAUUGGAGAAUUUGAAGG